CCUACGGGAGGCAGCAGUGGGGAAUAUUGCACAAUGGGGGGAAACCCUGAUGCAGCGACGCCGCGUGAGCGAAGAAGUAUUUCGGUAUGUAAAGCUCUAUCAGCAGGGAAGAAGAAAUGACGGUACCUGACUAAGAAGCACCGGCUAAAUACGUGCCAGC
rnacentral:rRNA from 1 species